rnacentral:rRNA from 1 species
GACAGAGGGUGCAAACGUUGUUCGGAAUUACUGGGCGUAAAGCGCGUGUAGGCGGCUUGGCAAGUCGGGUGUGAAAGCCCUGGGCUCAACCCAGGAAGUGCACUCGAAACUGCUUCGCUCGAGUAUCGGAGAGGAAAGCGGAAUUCUCGGUGUAGAGGUGAAAUUCGUAGAUAUCGAGAGGAACACCGGUGGCGAAGGCGGCUUUCUGGACGAUU